ACGGGGACCCGCACAAGCAGCGGAGCGUGUGGUUUAAUUCGUUGCUACACGAAGAACCUUACCUGGGUUUGACAUAUAGGUUGUAGGGAACUGAAAAGGGACCGACCCUUCGGGGAGCCUAUACAGGUGUUGCAUGGCUGUCGUCAGCUCGUGUCGUGAGAUGGUUCGGUUAAGUCCGCUAACGAGCGCAACCCUCGUCGUAUGUUAUAUGUGUCAUACGAGACUGCCGGUAAAAGCCGGAGGAAGGUGAGGAUGAUGUCAAGUCAGCAUGACCUUUAUAUCCAGGGCUACACACACGCUACAAUGGUCUGUACAAUGGGUAGCCAAGCCGCGAGGCGGAGCCAAUCCUGAAAGCAGGCCUCAGUUCAGAUUGCAGUCUGCAACUCGACUGCAUGAAGCCGGAGUUGCUAGUAACCGCAGGUCAGCAAUACUGCGGUGAAUACGUUCCCGGGUCUU
rnacentral:rRNA from 1 species